rnacentral:rRNA from 1 species
UGCGUCGACGGUGAAGCCAAGCUUGCUUGGUGGAUCAGUGGCGAACGGGUGAGUAACACGUGAGCAACCUGCCCUGGACUCUGGGAUAAGCGCUGGAAACGGCGUCUAAUACUGGAUAUGAGCUCUCAUCGCAUGGUGGGGGUUGGAAAGAUUUUUCGGUCUGGGAUGGGCUCGCGGCCUAUCAGCUUGUUGGUGAGGUAAUGGCUCACCAAGGCGUCGACGGGUAGCCGGCCUGAGAGGGUGACCGGCCACACUGGGACUGAGACACGGCCCAGACUCCUACGGGAGGCAGCAGUGGGGAAUAUUGCACAAUGGGCGGAAGCCUGAUGCAGCAACGCCGCGUGAGGGAUGACGGCCUUCGGGUUGUAAACCUCUUUUAGCAGGGAAGAAGCGAGAGUGACGGUACCUGCAGAAAAAGCGCCGGCUAACUACGUGCCAGCAGCCGCGGUAAUACGUAGGGCGCAAGCGUUAUCCGGAAUUAUUGGGCGUAAAGAGCUCGUAGGCGGUUUGUCGCGUCUGCUGUGAAAUCCCGAGGCUCAACCUCGGGCCUGCAGUGGGUACGGGCAGACUAGAGUGCGGUAGGGGAGAUUGGAAUUCCUGGUGUAGCGGUGGAAUGCGCAGAUAUCAGGAGGAACACCGAUGGCGAAGGCAGAUCUCUGGGCCGUAACUGACGCUGAGGAGCGAAAGGGUGGGGAGCAAACAGGCUUAGAUACCCUGGUAGUCCACCCCGUAAACGUUGGGAACUAGUUGUGGGGACCAUUCCACGGUUUCCGUGACGCAGCUAACGCAUUAAGUUCCCCGCCUGGGGAGUACGGCCGCAAGGCUAAAACUCAAAGGAAUUGACGGGGACCCGCACAAGCGGCGGAGCAUGCGGAUUAAUUCGAUGCAACGCGAAGAACCUUACCAAGGCUUGACAUAUACGAGAACGGGCCAGAAAUGGUCAACUCUUUGGACACUCGUAAACAGGUGGUGCAUGGUUGUCGUCAGCUCGUGUCGUGAGAUGUUGGGUUAAGUCCCGCAACGAGCGCAACCCUCGUUCUAUGUUGCCAGCACGUAAUGGUGGGAACUCAUGGGAUACUGCCGGGGUCAACUCGGAGGAAGGUGGGGAUGACGUCAAAUCAUCAUGCCCCUUAUGUCUUGGGCUUCACGCAUGCUACAAUGGCCGGUACAAAGGGCUGCAAUACCGUGAGGUGGAGCGAAUCCCAAAAAGCCGGUCCCAGUUCGGAUUGAGGUCUGCAACUCGACCUCAUGAAGUCGGAGUCGCUAGUAAUCGCAGAUCAGCAACGCUGCGGUGAAUACGUUCCCGGGUCUUGUACACACCGCCCGUCAAGUCAUGAAAGUCGGUAACACCUGAAGCCGGUGGCCCAACCCUUGNGGAGGGAGCCGUCG